UUCUCUCUCCUGAUCCACCAUGGUAAGAUGUCCUUCCAUCCUCUUCACCAUAAGCCAUGAUUGUAAGUUUCCUGAGGCCUCUCAGCGAUGCUUCCUCUUAAGCCUGUGGAACUAUGGGGUAAUAUCAGGACACCAGGAAGUCAGGUUUAUCUUCAAGGCAUCUUGGAUAAGGUUUCAGGAGCUGAAAAGGGUCUGGAUUUUACCCUACUUGAAAGAUAACAGCUUUUCACAGUUUCAUGGAUGCUGACAGAAGACAGGAUUUCUGGAUCAGAGAAAGGCGGUGCAGUAGUCCCCUCUUAGCUGAGGAAAAUACGUUUCAAGAUGCCCAGUGGUUGCCUGAAAUCACAGAUAGUACCAAACUCUACCUAUGCUAUGUUUUCUCCUAUGCAUACACACCUAUGGUAAAGUUGAAGUUAUAAAUUAGGCACAGUAAGAGAUUAAUAACAAUGACUAAUAAUAAAACACAGCAAUUAUAACAAUAUACUGCAGUAAAAGUUGUGGGAACAUUUUCUCCCGGAAUGUCCAUUUAAUAUUCAUGAACCACAGUUAAUGCCGGUAACUGAAACUGAAAACAAAACUUCAGGUAAGC
rnacentral:lncRNA from 1 species